UACGUAGGGUGCGAGCGUUGUCCGGAAUUACUGGGCGUAAAGAGCUCGUAGGUGGUUUGUCGCGUUGUCCGUGAAAACUCACAGCUUAACUGUGGGCGUGCGGGCGAUACGGGCAGACUGGAGUACUGCAGGGGAGACUGGAAUUCCUGGUGUAGCGGUGGAAUGCGCAGAUAUCAGGAGGCACACCGGUGGCGAAGGCGGGUCUCUGGGCAGGAACUGACGCUGAGGCGCGAAAGCUAGGGGAGCGAACGGG
rnacentral:rRNA from 1 species